UGCCCUCUCUCAGAGAAAAGCAGUUAGUGGUCUUACGUGACUGAAAGACGCGAAGGCGGUCAAGUUUAGGUAGCAACUACAACCCCGAGACGCUGAGUGAAAAUGAAUGACCAUAAGAAAGUUGCGCAUCCAAGACAGCAAGCAAUGUGCACUUUUUUUUUCGUGUGUCUGUGCGUGCAUUGCGCGUGAUAUGUCAACAUUACGCGAAGCCGGUACAGUUCAAGACAUUUUUCAAUCUGUCUGUGUUCCCAGCUGAGGGAUCAGUCAGGUAUUGGUGCACUGCAGACUAACACGUAUAGUUCUCCAUGAUCAGAUGAGGAUCAACAAUGCACUGUCAGGACACAUUAAUGAGUAUGGAUGCUACAGAAGAAAAUUUUCAAAGAACGAAUGGCUCAAGGUUUAAAACACUGUCGCGGUCUUCCUUUCCUCUCCUCCGUUCUUUCCACGCUCCCACAGUUUUCACAGGCUCCCUGGAUGACUCACAUGCGGCCCUCUGCACCACCUCUGCCCUCCUCCGUAACUCCUAAAGAGAGAUACCCAGAACCUCAAACUACAGGACCUUUGAGAAAAAAUUGAACAGCAAUAAAGAUAGGUUGACAUGCAGGAAAUGGCUCAAAACUGCCAGUCUCCAGACUCCCUGUUUUCCUCUGUGGGCUGAACCCAUAAGCUCUGAAAACACUACAGAGACUACAAAUCAGCAAGAAACAAGAUAACUGCACUGCAUUGGAAGACGAGGUGAAGAUGCAUGAAAAAUCUGCAGAGAAUGUGUUUAAUUACACUGAACUAAUAGGUUUUGCUCCAUGGCUGCAAUUAAAAAAAAGUUGUGGAGCAAAAUGUCAGUAAUAUUAGUUGUAAAUGCCCUGGAAAUAUCAAAUAAAGAACAUUUUAAAUGG